rnacentral:lncRNA from 1 species
CGCCAAGAGGUCGUGAGUGGCAGUUGCGAGCCAUCUGAAGCGGUCUCUCCAGGCUGCCGGCGCCUCUCCAUUCACUUUCCACCCCAGCAUCGCCUCUCUCCCCUCUCCCAGCUGAGAACCCCCACCUCUGUGCCUUUCUGCCUUCCUUUGGACACACCCACGACUCUGACCCCUUGAGGCUGGGGACCGAGGACAGUCUUCCUGCAACUUGCUGAGACGCGGAGCAGAAGGGUUCCCAUCCCGGGUCCACCCGCCGGGCACCCAGCCUUCGUGGGCCCCGCCCCCGGCCCCGCCCGCGGUUGCCCGGGGAACCACGGGCUCCCGCAGCUGCAGGAGGCGUCCGGUCCCGCUGAGCAGCACCAGCCACUGGCGCCGCUGCCACCGCCAUCUCCGCCGCUAGCAGCGCCGCCGCCACCGCGCCCAGCUCCGCUCCAGCUUCUGCGUCCUCUAGGCUCGCUAUGCCUCCCCGCCGCGCCCAGGCGCCCGGUGCCCCGCUGCUGCCCGUGCUGGCCCUGCUGCCGCUGCUGCUGGGUGCUGGGCCCCAAAGCAGCUGCUUGGCCAGCCCGGUGCCCGCCGCGCCCCUGCCUGCUCCGGGACCGUGCGCCUCGCAACCCUGUCGGAACGGGGGCGUGUGCACUCCGCGUUCGGUGACCGACCAAGAGCAUCCUGCGGUCGAUGCUGAGCCCGGCUACAGCUGCACCUGUCCCGCUGGGGUUUCUGGCACCGACUGCCAGGUAAGUG